GAUGAACGCUGGCGGCGUGCCUAAUACAUGCAAGUCGAGCGAACAGACGAGGAGCUUGCUCCUCUGACGUUAGCGGCGGACGGGUGAGUAACACGUGGAUAACCUACCUAUAAGACUGGGAUAACUUCGGGAAACCGGAGCUAAUACCGGAUAAUAUAUUGAACCGCAUUGUUCAAUAGUGAAAGACGGUUUUGCUGUCACUUAUAGAUGGAUCCGCGCCGCAUUAGCUAGUUGGUAAGGUAACGGCUUAGCAAGGCAACGAUGCGUAGCCGACCUGAGAGGGUGAUCGGCCACACUGGAACUGAGACACGGUCCAUACUCCUACGGGAGGCAGCAGUAGGGAAUCUUCCGCAAUGGGCGAAAGCUUGACGGAGCAACGCCGCGUGAGUGAUGAAGGUCUUCGGAUCGUAAAACUCUGUUAUUAGGGAAGAACAAAUGUGUAAGUAACUAUGCACGUCUUGACGGUACCUAAUCAGAAAGCCACGGCUAACUACGUG
rnacentral:rRNA from 1 species